GGUUGCUGUAGAAACUAAUGCUUCUCUUCCAUAUUGGUUUCUGAAGCCGAAGGUGGCAGUAUAAGACGGCAGUAAUCGAGAUAUUCUAGAGUAAUCUAGAAAUCUCGUAAACCCAAAAUGAGGGCGAAGUGGCGAAAAAAGAGGAUGCGUAGGCUAAAGCGCAAAAGGAGGAAGAUGCGUGCGAGGUCCAAAUAAAUUUUAUAUUAAUAAUUUCUCUCUUGGUAAAGCAACAUCAAUUCCGGUACAAUAAGAUUUUGGUCGAUCAGAGUAAUUUUGUAUCAACAAUUUGUCACCGACUUCUAUUGUUUUUACAUUUGAGAGUACAUUUUAUUAAUGUAUGUGUCUCGUACGAUUAAAUAAAUUGAUUAUUCAAACUA